rnacentral:lncRNA from 1 species
AACCCCCUUCCACUUAUACAUUUUGAAAAUUACGCCCCCGAAUAUUUGGUGAAGUGUCCGCCACUGGUGACGGGUCAUUUAUUUAAAUAUAUAGCAAUAUAUUGCUGAACCUGCUUUACCAUUAACACGGAAAUCCCGCCUAAAAAGUGAUUGCAAUCCUCUUGUCCACCAGGUAAUGAGGUAGGAAUGCUGGAUUUCAUGAUGUGGCCUUGGUUUGAACGACUGCCUGUAGUGUAUCCUCUUUCUGCUGACGUACAUCCAAACCUGACUAACUGGUUCAACCUGAUGCAUAAGGAUCCUGCAGUGAAAGAAACAGCAUUUUCAAAAGAGAUCCACUUGAAAUUUUACGAAGGAUAUCUCAAUGCCAAACCUGUCUAUGACUAAUUCGAACCUAUUGUAUAUGUCAAAACGUUUCCAAAUAUGUUGCUACCCGAACCCUGCUUUCUCACAAAUACAUUGUUUUUAGAUAUAGAACACUGAUAUGUAAACCAAUUAAGUGAUAUAUGUAAGAUGAUUUAUCUAAUUAUAGUUACAACCACGAAAUAUAUCAUUAACUAAUUAGCAUUAACCAAUCAAAACGAUAGCUAGAAAUUGCAAAUAACAGGAACUAUUAAUUAUUCGCCGAAGGCGAGGUGAUUAUUGGGGAAUAUUCGCCGAGACGAAGUCGAGGUGAAUAUUCCCCGAUAUUCACCGAGCCUGAUGCGAAUAAUUGUUUUAGUAUUGUUUACACAAGUCUUUUCACUCUUUUGUGUUUUUGGGACUGAAUUUAUUCGACUUGUAGGAUUUGUUAUGUUCACUUAUGCAAAAAUACUAAAGUUGUAUAAAGGCCUGAACGCAGGAUAAGUUUUACUGUGAUGCAAAUUGGUUAAAUACAUUGGUAUCGAAGGAACUAGACUCAGUUCCGAAAUAUCACCAACUCGAACCGACUUGACCUCGUAGCUCAGCUUAGUUGGUAGAGUACUGGACUAGUAUCCCAAAUGUCGCGGAUUCGAUUCCCACCGUGGUCAGGCAACUUUUCAGCUUGCCCGGUGUGGAGUAACACCACAGUCCACAAACAACCAAUUUGUUGAUUCAGUGUCUUAACCAAUAUGUGUUACAGUGCGUUUACUAUGUGACUUUGAAGAAAUAGACUGGCAUGCCAAUCGUUUUGUGAGGACCGGCCAUAAAGUAGCUGCUAGGGAAGCCCGGAGGGGACAAUGAAUUUCCCCCCAAGAAAUUGGUGGCCUAUCCAUUAGAAAUUUUUCAUGCAUGGCCCACCCUGUUAUGCAUCUUUGUCUAUUGGAACAAACCAUCAUACUUUCUCCAUAACCUGGAAUCAAUAAAUUAGUUAUAUAUUUACUAAUCAAGUAAACAUGAUUUGGAAUCGAAGAAUGUUAUGUUAUAUCCCCUCCCCCAAAGACAAC